rnacentral:tRNA from 2 species
GCCCCCAUCGUCCAGCGGCCUAGGACGCCGGCCUUUCACGCCGGUAACACGGGUUCGAAUCCCGUUGGGGGUACGA